rnacentral:rRNA from 1 species
UACGGGGGGGGCAAGCGUUGUUCGGAAUUACUGGGCGUAAAGGGCUCGUAGGCGGCCAACUAAGUCAUACGUGAAAUCCCUCAGCUUAACUGGGGAACUGCGUGUGAUACUGGAUGGCUUGGAUUUGGGAGAGGGAUGCGGAAUUCCAGGUGUAGCGGUGAAAUGCGUAGAUAUCUGGAGGAACACCGGUGGCGAAGGCGGCAUCCUGGACCAAUAUUGACGCUGAGGAGCGAAAGCCAGGGGAGCAAGCGGG